UUAAUACUCCCUCCGCCCGCAAAUACUUGUCCUAGAAAUGGUUGUAUCUAGAAUUAUUUAGUUAUAGAUACAUCCGAUUUAUCCAUUUUGAGAACUAAUAUUUCCGUACGGAGGGAGUACCUA
rfam:Triticum aestivum genome assembly, contig: Triticum_aestivum_CS42_TGACv1_scaffold_210489_3AS